CACGGGGGGGGCAAGCGUUGUUCGGAAUCACUGGGCGUAAAGGGCGUGUAGGCGGUCAGGUAAGUGAGACGUGAAAUGCCCCGGCUUACCCGGGGACCUGCGUCUCAUACUGCUUGGCUUGAGUACGGGAGAGGGUGUGGGAAUUCCUGGUGUAGCGGUGAAAUGCGUAGAUAUCAGGAGGAACACCGGUGGUGUAAACGGCUCUCUGGACCGUAACUGACGCUGAGGCACGAAAGCGUGGGUAGCAAACAGG
rnacentral:rRNA from 1 species